rnacentral:tRNA from 1 species
AGGUCUUAUAUUCAAUAAUGAUGUUAAAUUGCAAGUUUAAAGGAGGGGUAUCCCUAAGGCUUA